UGACAGCAUUUUACUAUAUUGUGCCAAGAUAAGCUUAGCUAGCAUAAGCUAAUAAUAGUAUGGCUAAUACUAAUUCCACACUCUAACACGAUAUUGGCGUUUUUAGAAAAUGUUUUUGAGCACUGUAUCCAUGUGCCUGUCUGACAAUGACUUCUGCAUCCGGCUUUGCAUUUCCUACUCUGACGGGAUCCCACUGAGCGGCUCAUGCAUGCUGGGAAAGCGUUCGGAUUUCACCCUUGCGUUUCCAGUGCGCCACUUUAGAAAAGCUAUUCUGCCACGCACUCACGCAGCGUUACUGAGAGACUCGGCUCAGACGCCGACACGGACUUAUAAAAGACAGCGAGAAUGAAGCGAGAGUGUGUGAGAGAGAGAGAGAGAGAGAGAGAGAGAGAGAGAGAGAGAAUACCUGGGGUGCUGUCUGGGACUGAGAUUGGCAGAUGACUUUAAAGUCAAGGUGGCAUUGAUCUUAUUACCCAGAAUUCCCUAGGAGAACACAUGAUGAGAUGAAUGACACAGGAAGAGCCUUCAUCUCUGUGCCAGCAGGACUUCUAUCAUACUGAGCCUCUCAACACACACAGUGACAGGCAGCUACACUGCCCACACACACACAUGCGCACACGCACACACACACACAGACACACAGGCACACUCACACACACACACGCACACUUUAUUCAGUGAGUACUUGAAUCAUCAAUGAAUAGUCAAUUUUAAUACUUCAUUUUCUUGAUUGAGUACAAAAAUAAAGCGGCUAAUUGCAG
ensembl:lncRNA